rnacentral:rRNA from 1 species
UGGGGAAUUUUGGACAAUGGGGGCAACCCUGAUCCAGCAAUGCCGCGUGAGUGAAGAAGGCCUUCGGGUUGUAAAGCUCUUUUGUCAGGGAAGAAACACCGGCUCUAACACAGUCCGGGAAUGACGGUACCUGAAGAAUAAGCACCGGCUAACUACGUGCCAGCAGCCGCGGUAAUACGUAGGGUGCGAGCGUUAAUCGGAAUUACUGGGCGUAAAGCGUGCGCAGGCGGUUAUACAAGACAGGCGUGAAAUCCCCGGGCUUAACCUGGGAAUGGCGCCUGUGACUGUAUAGCUAGAGUGUGUCAGAGGGGGGUAGAAUUCCACGUGUAGCAGUGAAAUGCGUAGAUAUGUGGAGGAAUACCAAUGGCGAAGGCAGCCCCCUGGGAUAACACUGACGCUCAUGCACGAAAGCGUGGGGAGCAAACAGGAUUAGAUACCCUGGUAGUCCACGCCCUAAACGAUGCUGACUAGUUGUUCGGGAUUUACAUCCUGAGUAACGUAGCUAACGCGUGAAGUCAGCCGCCUGGGAAGUACGGUCGCAAGAUUA